rnacentral:lncRNA from 1 species
AAUUUACGAAAGCUAUAUUGUCUUUUUAACAGUUUUUAAUUAUAUUUUUAUUUUUUUGUCACUUGAUAUUUUGAAAGUCAACCCGUUUUGACCCAAAACCCGUUUCGACCAAAACCCGCCUUGACUCUAACCCGUUUCGACCUGAACCCGUUCUAACCCGAACCCAUUUGAACCUUUUUUUAAUUGACCCGUUUUAACCCGAACCACUUUGACCCGAACCCGCUUUGACACGUGACCCGACCCGACCCAACCCGCCCGUUUUGCCAGGUCUAAUUAUUAUCUGUUGUUCAUUGAUCUUAGUGAGUUAUAACUUUUAAGGGUUUGCUUUGGUUUUUGACAACUCAUAUAGAAUAUAUAUAUUAUGUUUUUAAUCGUAUCAUUCAACAUUUUCUCAUAUCAAUUACUUCUGAUCUCAGAGCAGCGUAAGGCAAUUAUAGCUCUUUUUUCGCCUUCUCAAUUACAGGGUAUCUGGUAAUUCAUUAAUGUUUGAUCUAAGUAUUUGGUUUACGAAUUGUGAUGGUUGUGGGUUGAGCUGUAUUUAAGCUUCCUCAUGUCGGCUCAGCGGAAUCAAGCGAUAGCUCCAAGAAGGCCUACGACGAAUGAAAAAGCUGAAAAUAAACUUUUCUGAAAGUUGCGGAUGAUGAAGACUAGGCAACUGAAACCCACACAAAGUCGUCGACGUACAAAUCUUUAGGUAGCACACCUUUUGUACAACUUAUUUGCGUAACACUCUAGGUAUCAGUAUGCUAAGUUGUGAAGACCGUUAUACAGAAGAACAUUUUAUACAUCUUUGUUUUGUAUAUCCUUAAUAUAUAGGUCAGGCGAUGUGACUAUGGAAGGAUGAUGUAAUCAAACACUUAGGGCCUCCCGGCCGCAACGCGGCGGGGUUUUAAAUCUAGUUCAUUUUAAUUUAUGUCAUAAAAUAUAUUGUAAAA